GUCGAGAAUCAUUGGCAAUGGGCGAAAGCCUGACCAUGCGACGCCGCGUGCGGGAUGACGGCCUUCGGGUUGUAAACCGCUGUCGCGAGGAACGAAGACUGAUUGGGCGAACAACCUGAUCAGUUUGACGGUACCUCGAGAGGAAGCCACGGCUAACUCCGUGCCAGCAGCCGCGGUAAGACGGAGGUGGCGAGCGUUGCUCGGAUUCACUGGGUGUAAAGGGCAAGUAGGCGGCCUGAUAAGUCGGGUGUGAAAUCCCACGGCUCAACCGUGGAACUGCGUCCGAAACUGCCAGGCUAGAGGACAGUAGAGGCGAAUGGAAUUCCCGGUGUAAGGGUGAAAUCUGUAGAUAUCGGGAGGAACACCAGUGGCGAAGGCGAUUCGCUGGGCUGUCCCUGACGCUGAGAGGCGAAAGCUAGGGGAGCAAACAGG
rnacentral:rRNA from 1 species